rnacentral:rRNA from 1 species
AGCGAACGCUGGCGGCAGGCCUAACACAUGCAAGUCGAACGAACCUUUCGGGGUUAGUGGCGGACGGGUGAGUAACACGUGGGAACGUGCCUUUAGGUUCGGAAUAACUCAGGGAAACUUGUGCUAAUACCGAAUGUGCCCUUCGGGGGAAAGAUUAAUCGCCUUUAGAGCGGCCUGCGUCUGAUUAGCUAGUUGGUUGAGGUAAUGGCUCACCAAGGCGACGAUCAGUAGCUGGUCUGAGAGGAUGAUCAGCCACAUUGGGACUGAGACACGGCCCAAACUCCUACGGGAAGCAGCAGUGGGGAAUCUUGCGCAAUGGGCGAAAGCCUGACGCAGCCAUGCCGCGUGAAUGAUGAAGGUCUUAGGAUUGUAAAAUUCUUUCACCGGGGACGAUAAUGACGGUACCCGGAGAAGAAGCCCCGGCUAACUUCGUG